UUUCCGUAGGUGAACCUGCGGAAGGAUCAUUAUUGAAUGAAACACUCCUGGCUUUAUGCUGUUGUGCUGGCCCUUUGGGCAAUGUGCACACGGCUCUGGUCACUUGUUUCUUCUGUUCCACCUGUGCACUGCCUGUAUACACGCUGUGUCUAUGAUAUUUUUUAACACACAGCAAUGUUAGUUGGCAUGUUAUAUAUAAUAAUAAAAUAUACAACUUUCAACAACGGAUCUCUUGGCUCUC
rnacentral:misc_RNA from 1 species